rnacentral:rRNA from 1 species
GUAUAAGCAAUCUAUACCGUGAAACUGCGAAUGGCUCAUUAAAUCAGUUAUCGUUUAUUUGAUAGUACCUUACUACUUGGAUAACCGUGGUAAUUCUAGAGCUAAUACAUGCUAAAAACCUCGACUUCGGGAGGGGUGUAUUUAUUAGAUAAAAAACCAAUGCCCUCCGGGGCUCCUUGGUGAUUCAUAAUAACUUAACGAAUCGCAGAGCCUUGCGCUGGCGAUGGUUCAUUCAAAUUUCUGCCCUAUCAACUUUCGAUGGUAGGAUAGUGGCCUACCAUGGUUUCAACGGGUAACGGGGAAUUAGGGUUCUAUUCCGGAGAGGGAGCCUGAGAAACGGCUACCACAUCCAAGGAAGGCAGCAGGCGCGCAAAUUACCCAAUCCCGAUUCGGGGAGGUAGUGACAAUAAAUACUGAUACAGGGCUCUUUUGGGUCUUGUAAUUGGAAUGAGUACAAUUUAAAUCCCUUAACGAGGAACAAUUGGAGGGCAAGUCUGGUGCCAGCAGCCGCGGUAAUUCCAGCUCCAAUAGCGUAUAUUAAAGUUGUUGCAGUUAAAAAGCUCGUAGUUGAACCUUGGGCCUGGCUGGCCGGUCCGCCUCACCGCGUGCACUGGUCCGGCCGGGUCUUUCCUUCUGGGGAGCCGCAUGCCCUUCACUGGGUGUGCCGGGGAACCAGGACUUUUACUUUGAAAAAAUUAGAGUGUUCAAAGCAGGCCUAUGCUCGAAUACAUUAGCAUGGAAUAAUAAAACAGGACGAGCAGUUCUAUUUUGUUGGUUUCUAGGACCGCCGUAAUGAUUAAUAGGGAUAGUCGGGGGCAUCAGUAUUCCGUUGUAAGCUUAAGUAAGCUUAAAUUUAUUUUAUCGAGCGCAAAAUACAGUGAUUGCUAUUUUACUGUAUUUUUGUGUUUUUGUUUUUUUCCCCAACUAU